rnacentral:rRNA from 1 species
CAACCUGCCGUCUACUCUNNGACAGCCUUCUGAAAGGAAGAUUAAUACAAGAUGGCAUCAUGAGUCCGCAUGUUCACAUGAUUAAAGGUAUUCCGGUAGACGAUGGGGAUGCGUUCCAUUAGAUAGUAGGCGGGGUAACGGCCCACCUAGUCUUCGAUGGAUAGGGGUUCUGAGAGGAAGGUCCCCCACAUUGGAACUGAGACACGGUCCAAACUCCUACGGGAGGCAGCAGUGAGGAAUAUUGGUCAAUGGGCGAGAGCCUGAACCAGCCAAGUAGCGUGAAGGAUGACUGCCCUAUGGGUUGUAAACUUCUUUUAUAAAGGAAUAAAGUCGGGUAUGGACACCCGUUUGCAUGUACUUUAUGAAUAAGGAUCGGCUAACUCCGUGCCAGCAGCCGCGGUAAUACGGAGGAUCCGAGCGUUAUCCGGAUUUAUUGGGUUUAAAGGGAGCGUAGAUGGAUGUUUAAGUCAGUUGUGAAAGUUUGCGGCUCAACCGUAAAAUUGCAGUUGAUACUGGAUAUCUUGAGUGCAGUUGAGGCAGGCGGAAUUCGUGGUGUAGCGGUGAAAUGCUUAGAUAUCACGAAGAACUCCGAUUG